rnacentral:rRNA from 1 species
CCGGUUGAUCCUGCCGNAGGUUACUGCUAUCGGUGUUCGCNUAAGCCAUGCGAGUCAUAUGUUCUUCGUGAACAUGGCGUACUGCUCAGUAACACGUGGAUAACCUGCCCUUGGGUCCGGCAUAACCCCGGGAAACUGGGGAUAAUACCGGAUAACGCACAUAUGCUGGAAUGCUUUAUGCGUAAAACGGAUUCGUCUGCCCAAGGAUGGGUCUGCGGCCUAUCAGGUAGUAGUGGGUGUAAUGUACCUACUAGCCGACAACGGGUACGGGUUGUGAGAGCAAGAGCCCGGAGAUGGAUUCUGAGACAUGAAUCCAGGCCCUACGGGGCGCAGCAGGCGCGAAAACUUUACAAUGCGGGAAACCGUGAUAAGGGGACACCGAGUGCCAGCAUCAUAUGCUGGCUGUCCGGGUGUGUAAAAUACACCUGUUAGCAAGGGCCGGGCAAGNGCG